GACGAACGCUGGCGGCGUGCCUAACACAUGCAAGUCGAGCGGGAACCUCGGGAGGGGUAACCCUUCCGUGGGGAGAGCGGCGAACGGGUGAGUAACACGUGGGCAACCUGCCCCGGACACCGGGAUAACCCAGGGAAACCUGAGCUAAUACCGGAUACUCCGGCGUGAUCGCAUGGUCGCGCCGGGAAAGCCCCGACGGUCCGGGAUGGGCCCGCGGCCUAUCAGCUUGUUGGUGGGGUAACGGCCCACCAAGGCGACGACGGGUAGCUGGUCUGAGAGGACGGCCAGCCACACUGGGGCUGAGACACGGCCCAGACUCCUACGGGAGGCAGCAGUGGGGGAUCUUGCGCUAAUGCGCGAAAGCGUGACGCAGCGACGCCGCGUGGGGGAUGAAGGCCCUCGGGUUGUAAACCCCUUUCGGCAGGGACGAAGCGAAAGUGACGGUACCUGCAGAAGAAGCACCGGCCAACUACGUGCCAGCAGCCGCCGUAACAC
rnacentral:rRNA from 1 species